ensembl:lncRNA
GUCAAGUUUAAGGAGCUCCUUUAGCAGCUCGGACUUAGUGACUGCCUGCAGGGAGAAACUUUGUAGCUGGACAGGGGGAAAAAGGGAAAAGCAUUGGGGAUAGUUGCAUUAGAAGGGGUGAGAGAUGAGGAAAUGUUGGACGGACAAGGAGGCAUGGCUGAGUCAAAUAGGAAUCCUGACUUAAUGAAGUGGUGAUUAAAGAGCUCAGCCAUGUGCUUCUUGUCAGUAACAACAUCAUCAUCAACAUUAAGGGACAUGGGCAGCUGUGAGGAGGAGGGUUUAUUCUUCAGGUCUUUAACCAUUUCCCAAUACUUCUUGGGGUUAUACCCACAGAGAGAUUACUGCUCCUUAAAGUAAGAGCUUAGGGCAGGUAGGGUACAGGCCAGUGCUGAUGGAGGACGAUAGCAUCCAGCAACAGUCCACAAAGAGCUAUUUGAAAGUUUAAUGCUUAAAACCAGCAAAUCAAAUUGUUUGGGGACAGACUUGGUGGAGACAACUGAGCACUGAAGGUGAUCCUUGGUAAAAGAUUGCCACUCCCCCAUCUGUCUUGCCAAAAAAGUUUAUAACCAGAAAUGUUAACAUCAGUAUUCAAAACACUCUUCCUUAACCACGUCUCAGUAAUGACCAACACAUCUGGAUUGGAGCUGUGAACCCACACUUUCAAUUGAUCCAUUUUAGGACUCAGGGCUCCAGCAGGAGGGCUUGUGGAUAUCUGAUAUGCCAUUUGACUGGAGGCUUGCUGCAGUAUGCGGCACAGGGAGAAGAAAACAUGCAGAAAUGUACUCAUGUGGCAAGGUCUAGUAAAGAUUGGAAGGGUAAAAUGCCUCCUCUAAUAAUACUCUGUGCAGUUGGAUAAAAGAGAGCAUUCUAGAAAAUCCCACCGCUGCCACUAUUUCUCAUUCCACCUAACAGCGGACAGACAUAAUGGAAGCCAUUGCAGUUAUAAAAAUGCCCUUGAGAUAGAAACAGCACUUUUAUACUUAAUCUCUUACUGGAAUCCUAGUUUUCCUACUGUACUGUAUGACUGAGAGAGUUGGCUGCCAGCUAAACACAUUAUAUUCUGCUGAACCAGGCUCAGGUUUGUGUGAGUUGGGUCAGUUCCCUGCCAUAGUCCACACAUUAAGAUACUGAACCAGGGUCAGCCAGUCAUUGUGAAUGAGAUCACUGGUGGUGAUUGAAGUGAUGCAAGCCUGCCACUCAUGCUUGUUUGCAUUAGAGACUGAUACUGGGGUUGCAUGCCCAUUCCGGAGAUUCCAUGCUUGUCAUUCUGGGAAUGCCUGGGAAUCAAUGAGCCUCUGGAUUGGGACAAUGUCAUUGCACAGCACAGUACAUCAGGAUAUACAGUAUCAGAACAUACACACAGACAGAGAGAGAGGGCGAGGGAGAGAGAGUGAAGCAGAACAGUGGACGAGCAGUGCACAGAAACUCUUGACACAGGAAGCACACACAUUAACAGCCCACUAACAUAGACACCUUUGUUAAUCCCAUGAAUGUAACGACAAGCUUUGACGAAUCAAUCUUAAUGUUUUGAGACUGAGAAAUAAGGAUGGAUGAAAGAUAAAAAGAUGGGUAACUGGAGCAGGAGGUCAGAACUAUUGCUUGUUGUCUAUCUGGGCCAGGCCGGGAGAGACCAGGGAACACCCAUGACAUGAAAGCAGCAGCAGCUUCAAGUCUAUCCUUGUUCUCUGUCUUGUGGGCGGUGCUACUAGCAACCAGCAUGGGGGAUGGAUCAUUUGCCAAGCAGAUGCCAGGGAGACUUGUAUUUUGUGUUAAUCCUUCUUGGGUAGUCAAAGGCUUUUAGAAAAAAAAACAGUGAUCCUUUCAUUGUUUUCUACAAAGUCAUGAAGAGUUCUCAUUUUUGAAGCACACAGAUCUUUGUUAGAUUGAAGUUGUUGUUGAUAGUCAGCAAACAAGCAUGAUGAUCAUGAAGCGUUUCAUUGGCUGUGUCAACUAUAUUUACGUUCUUCUUAUGGUUUUACCUUCAUGACUGGAUGUUAUUGUCUAAUUAUACAUGACUACUGCAAUGCUAGGUUUGGGGGCAGAUGUAAUAAAAUAUUACACAGCCUCAUGCCAUCAUAAGGGUUACCUCGUAAACUUUAGUGGCCUCAUUUCCUAUUCACAAUGCCACGGUGUUAUUUGGUAUGUUGAGAAUGUUUGUAAACUAGGUGUUGGCAUGACGUGAGAAUUCACUGCGCUGUGUAGCCUGGUACAGUUUGGACUGUUCAUGCCACACUGCACAGACAAGGCACAGACCUGACGGACAAGAUCACCCUGUUGAGAGGGCAUACGGGUUCCUUCUCUCUAUAACAACAAAACAAGCAGGUUGCAUCACUCAGCUGGGUGCUAUUGGUGGAGGUGUGCGAGGUAGGUUAAACACACAGUGUGAAGUGCUAUGGAAUGUUUUUGUCUGAAAGGUGAUUAAGUACAUAUUUGAACAAGGAUGUAGAUCAUCAGUCACAUAAGAAAAAAAGAUUUGGUGACAUCCAUUGCUGUAACAUUGAAAAUAAGUUAUCAAUCUGUUUUUGGCCACUGUGCCCAUCUGGUCCAAAAUAAAUGCCCCAGGGAAGUGAUUGGGGACAUUGCUCUGUGAAGUGACGUCUUUUGGAAGGGACGUUAAAUGGCUGUCCUGACUCUCUUUGGUCACUAAAGAUCCCAUGGCACUUAUCAUAAGAGUAGGGGUGUUAACCACGGUGUCCUGGCUAAAUUCCCAAUCUGGCCCUCAUACCAUCAUGGUCACCUAAUUAUCACCAGCUUCCAAUUGGCUCAUUCAUCCCACCUCCUCUCUCCUAUAACUAUUUCCCAGGUCAUCGCUGUAAAUGAGAAUGUGUUCUCAGUUAACUUACCUGGUAAAAUAGGGGUUAAAUAAAACAUUUAAUAAAUGAAAGACAAUUGCUAACUCUCCAAGACUGUGUGUUGGGUAAAAAUCUGUGUGAUAGUUGACUAGGAGCCCUAGUCCCUCAGCCCAAUCUCUAUUUAAAAAAAGAUAAGGAUUGUCACACACACGCACACACACACAACACAACACACACACUUCUGACAACACAAUGCAGUCUACAAUCUCACCUAAAUGGUAUUUCACAACUUUGAUGAUACCAUUGUUUUCUUAAAGGAACCCUACAAACUAUGUUACUAUUGUUUGUUUUCUCCUCCCCAUGUUGACUCACCACAAAUACCACCUGGUUCAUUCUUCUCUUCCAGAAAACCUGCAUUUCUGUCAUUCCUGUGUAUCCACAGCUGCUCCCUGCAAGUUUCGACUUUUAAUGGCACGUGCACAAGUACAGUGAAAUGCCCUUCUUGCAAGCUCCAAACCCAACAAUGCAGUGAUCAAUAUCAAGGUAGCACUAAAAAUAACACAAGGUAGAACAAAAACACAAGAGAUGAAAAUAAGAAGAACAUGAGAAAGAAGCUACAGGGCCUUCAGAAAGUAUUCAAACCUCUUGACUUCUUCCACAUUUUGUUGUGUUACAACCUGAACCCCAUAAUGUCAAAGUGGGAUUGUGUUUUUAGAAAUGUUAAUAAAAUGAAUUAAAAA